rnacentral:lncRNA from 1 species
ACAGGUUGAGGGAUAGAUGGGGGUGGAGGGGGUUAAGCAUUCAGGUUCGCUUAGAUGAACUCCGUGUACCACUCAUUAAUCAUGUGGAAAAAAGCCUCUCGAGCCCCUUCUCCUCCUCCCUGACUAACCGUGGGAGGUCGAUAUAAAAUAUCAGAAGUCACUUGAUAGGAGAUGUUCCUAUAUAUGCUCAACGACGAUUGGAGAUGGAACGACGAAGAGGACGAGAUUGAUGAAAGAAGAGGGUGAAAUGGUGAACGGGGAGAUGAGAGGUCCCUUUUCUCUGAUUUGGUCACAAAACUUUCAGGCUUCUAGAUCCGACAAAAUCAAAAGAAAAUAUUGAAAAGAGGAAAGUUGGAGACAAAUC